rnacentral:rRNA from 1 species
AUCUUCGGGCGCUUCACCUUCCCACAACUUCGGCUAGUGGCGACGCGACGGAAUAGAAGAAGAGAAGCAGACAGGGGAAUCAGAGACACCGGUGAGUCAGACAAACGGAGGAGAAGGAGCGAAGGAAGAGGCUAGGUCUCGAUCCUAAACAUCGUUCAAGAAGAGACAAUUGGAGGGAGAGACUAGGUAUCACCACCGGAGCCACUAAAGGAUCAAACAACCCAUAGAAAAGAAGAGAUAGACAGCAUAGUCCAUACCAAACGGGAGAAACAUCAACAGGCCCAGGAGGCACAGACGGAAAACACGGUCAACUUCUUCAAGGACUCCACAAGCUGCAACAAGAGCUACUGUUAACGAAGUCAUCCUACCUGGAUGGUUGUACUGUACUGUGUUUUUUAACACUUCCCGUAGUCUAGCAGCAAAUGGAACUUGACUGGUGUUCGUUGAACUAGACGUCUAGAUACCCACUAGCCUCCUCCUCCAUCCUUCCUUCUUUACCCUCGUUCUUCUAGAUACCUCUGUAGUGUCCCAUGAGCUCAGACUCGAAGCAAAGACGUAGGUACCGCCACCAACACAAACACUAGCUCCUUCCUCCUCCUUCCUUCUUCUGGAUCGCUAGCCACGUACUCAACCUAGGUCAACAUAAUCACAUCACCCACAACGAAUGGUCCAAUCCGGAUAAAAUUGAAAACCCCAUUUGUCUUCCGUCUUGUGCUGUUGUGUUUCACAGACGCCACCUAGUCAAACAAAAGAACAACCCGACUAGCCCGACUAACUGACUGGUGUUUAGUCUCAGUCAGUGAAAAAG